rnacentral:sRNA from 1 species
UUGGAAUCGGUGGCGCUGUAUCUUAGUCAAAGCGUCUCGGUCUCGAAGAAGGGCCUAAAAAUCCUUUAAAGGGCAUAUCGAUGAAGUCCCUGGUGCCUGCUUUUUUCGCCCAGAUUAGGGUGGGUGCUGGGGGUUAAGGCUUUCGGGCGAGGUGUAACGGCAUAUACCGACCGACCCGAUUUCCGUGGAGACCUGCUCUUGUGCGACAGCCGUAAAGUGUUACGACCCGGACUGCGUACGAAGCAGGACAGAACCUGCAUCGCGGUGCUUAGAAUCUUGUGCUGGGUGCAGUGUAGCCUGCCUUGCGUGGGCACGUUGGGAUGGGAGAACAGGCGUUGACCGCUGCGGCCGCAGCGGCGUGACGAUAUUGCUCGCUGAAAUCGUGGCUGCAAAAGAGGAUAGAACCGAGAUGCAAUGUUGUGGAAAACACCUAAGCAGUCAAUUCCGGGCAGACAGAGGAUUGCAGUGCGGUCUGAGUGGCAAUCGGGUACCGGGUGCGGCGACGCCCCGGCGCGGACUUUAAACGGAAACGGCCGUCCGGCGACGAACGGUAGCCCGCGGGGAAAGCCAACCCGACCUAAGCCGCAAGAUUUACUCUGUCUGCUGCCACUUCUUUU